CUAUGAUUUUUGUUGUUAGGUGACAUAAAUUCUUUCGAAAUUAUGUUUAAACGGGAAGUUAAGUGAAAUACUUACACUGCCCCCGCAACGGUAAGUAAGCGUGGAUUCAUAACAAACAGUCACUGAGAAAUCGGGAAGGCUUUGAAUCAAAUCUUACAAGUCCGGAGACCGGCCUAAUAACUCACUAAGAA
rnacentral:ncRNA from 2 species